ACAGCCAGUCGAUCGCCCUAGUGUCAUCACCCUGCCUGCUGGCUGGGCAGGGUAACUCCUGAGGUCACCACCCUCUCCAGCCUGCCUUGGGCUUGGAGAGUGAGGAGGAGGGCGAGGGACGUCUGCUGACCCUGAACAUCCGCCAUCCAUCAUCCCAUCACUGAGAGCAAGAUGGCCAGGCUCCUGCGGAUGUUCAGGAGGAAGGCUCUGCAGGUGGCCCCAGAGCCUGAGGGAAGCAGCUGCCCCCUUCCCAAGGGGCAGAGCAAGCCCUGCGUCCCCGCUGGCGGGGAAGCAGCUCCCGUCCAGGCCAGACGGCGGAAGUGCCCGGCCUUCUGGAAAAGGAACCCGGCUCCCGGCGCAGGCGCCGAGCUGGGAGAGGCCCCGACCAGGCCCCAGUGGAGCUGGCCCAGGCUGCGGUUUUGCAGACAGGACCCAGCCCAGGAGGGGCGCCGGGCAGGGUGGCUCUGGGGCUGGUUGUGUGGGCAGCAGCGGCCCCAGGAGCCCAGCCCUCGUUCCCAUCAGGAGGCAUCGCCCUGCCCGGUCUCUGAGGCCCUUCCAGCCCCCGCAGGCCAGGAGGUGGAAGGUCCCUGUCCCAGCACCGGCAGCUCAGCAUGGGACAGCGGCAGCACCUGGGCCUCUGGCAGCAGCCAGGCCGAUGGAGGCCACUGCUUUGUUCCAGGGACGCCCCAGAAUUCGGAGCAGGAGGAAGGGGUGGACAUGGCCAAAGAUGAAG